GAUGAACGCUGGCGGCGUGCUUAACACAUGCAAGUCGAACGAACAUAUCUUUCGAGAUGUGUUAGUGGCAGACGGGUGCGUAACACGUAGGUGACCUGCCCUGGAGUGGGGAAUAACUAUCCUAACGGAUAGCUAAUACCGCAUAUGCUCAGCGAUUCAUUUUGUUGAGUAAAGGCGCAAGCCGCUUUGGGAUGGGCCUGCGGCGGAUUAGGUAGUUGGUGGGGUAAUGGCCUACCAAGCCGACGAUCCAUAGCUGGUUUGAGAGGAUGAUCAGCCACACUGGGACUGAGACACGGCCCAGACU
rnacentral:rRNA from 1 species